rnacentral:lncRNA from 1 species
GUAUAGUAGGAUCCUAUAUCAUGAUCUGGUGGAACAAUGGGAAAUAUCAUAAUAGAAAUGUAGAGUGGGCACUUAUCUUUGAGCAAUAACCAGCAGUCACUAUGCAAGUUGAUUUUAACGAACUACAGUUUCUGGGAAAAAAGUAGAAAGUUAACACAAUAUGUCUAAUGUAUAUUGAGCUGAAUUAGAAAGCUUACAUUACAUGUAUCCAUUAGCCCAAGGAAGAAACAAGCUAGACAACUGAUAAACAGUUGCUAUUUGAUAAGUACAUUCUUCAAGUUGC